rnacentral:lncRNA from 1 species
AAAAUACAUAUUUAUCAAUAUAUUGACAUACUUAUAAUUUUGUUGACCUUGUUAAUUAUCAUAUUUAGUGUUUCAUCUUUAUUUCCAUUGUCGUUGAUAAUCUUGGUAAAGAUUGAAAAUUGUUUCGCCAGUAAUGAUAGAUCAACACACCCAUAAUGUUUAAAGCACAACUGCCAAAGACCAAUAUACUGCUUGUCGGCAUACUCAAAUAGUUCAAUGAGAGCGUCAGUUUCCACAGAUAUCGAAAUCCAAAUCGGCGUUGAAAAUCCAAGGACAAGCAAAGCAAGUGUAACCACUGUCAAAACAAAGAUAGAUUUGUUUGCUCUUGUUAAAGUCGUCCAUUUUGUUGAGUAUGGCAUAAUUAUUUCCCUUUUUUUUCACGUGCACAAA